GGGGAGGGAGAUUCAGGCAGAGGGAAGCUUGCCCUGGCUACCAGGAGGAACUCAGGACUCAGCCUGGAGGGGAAGGAGUUGCAGCUGAGCUAGCCAUGGGCAUGGGGAAGUUGCAGAGCAAAAGGGCUUAAGUGUAGUCCUGGCCCCUGGAAAAGUGGCAAGAAAGGGCGAUUACACAUUCCUACCUUCUGGCUCUCAGACCUCAGCCUCAUCCAGGGGCCUGACAGAGAAAAAUCCACCUCUGAUGGAAUCAUUAAGUUAACCAUCCAUUUGUACCAUUUCUUUGUAUAGGCUUUCAAAUGAGAGAGAGGGAGAGAAUACAGAGCCAGUACUUUCCCCUUGGUGCAACCCCAUGCCUACUCCCUAUCAGAGGCACAUCAGCCAAAUUGGUUUCCCAGGCCCCAGAGGCUGCUAACCUUGCUGAAGAGGAUUUUUUUUUUUUAAAUUUCUAUUUGUAAGGAGUAUUAAAAGAUAGUGAUUACCUGUACUAGCUACUCAUUCCUCCUCCCUCCCCCAUUCUGUACCAGCCAACUGACUAGUGAUCUCAGCCAGCAGGCUUGGGAGCCUAGGCUUUCCAUCUGUUGAGGUUUUUCAUUAGGGAGGAUGUGUGUGGGUGGGUGUAAGUUUGAAUAACAAAGAGGAAACCCAACAUUCUAAUAAGUGUUUCUCUGCUUGACCUGGGGAAGCCAGAAGCUUGUUUGUCCCAUUUCAAGGGAGAGUCACCGGCCUGUUUUGACAUUAUCUUCAGAAUAGUUGAAACUUCCUCCUGAAGUCAAGAAUUGGUUAAUCCCAGUUACAGAUCCAGGAAGGUCCUCUUCAUGUGGCAAUUCUUGGCAUUACUCUGGUCCUUCUUUCAGAAACUGUAAGAAUAGGAUGAACAGAAAUUUGUAUUAAAUAAAAACAAAAAGAGAUGCACAAGGCACCAGUCCCCACUGGCCGAUAGCCUGAUUACUUCAGGGCACUGCAACUUCCUAGAGAGGGUUUAGCUGAGGUCUGGGUGAGCAGACCCAUCUCUAGACACUUUGGGAACGGGGAGCUGAGACUGAGUAACCCGCCAAAUACUCUCCACCUCUGAGCACUGGCUCACCUAGAUCUCUCUUGCGGAAGGCCUGGAUGGAGAGAAAAAAGAGGGUAGAUGGAGCAUCCGCACUUACUGUAUUGCUGGUUCUGGUGGUGGAGAGGAUCAUCAUAGAGGAUGAAAUCUUAGUUAUCACUGUUCUCUCAUCUUCUCCUCUAGCUACAAAUGCCCUUAUGGGGGGGGAGGGAGGACCUAAAGUUGGUGCCAAAUGGAUUUAUACACCUGGCCCAAAGCCCAUGGCCUAAAUAAUCCCCUCAGGUCUCAUACCCACCCUGGUAAGUUGGGAAAGUACAGAGACAAUUCAAAGACCCACUUUCAGGCCAGGUCCAGCCUGAAACAGUGAACAAAAGGUUUCCACACAUGAAAAGCCAGGGUAAAUGGCUGUCCAAUCAUUUGCAGUAGCAGAAGCAAGUGAGGGGUCCCCAGGAGAUCAACACGGUGGGGGUACUACAUAAGUCUUCCUGUCCUAGAUCUUAAGGUAAAAUAUCUUGACUGGCUCCUAUAUCUAGUCUGGAUCAUUUUAUGGAAGAAUAAUCUCUGGAAAAUGACAAGAACAGGAUUUUAAUAUUAGUCAGAGCCCAAGGAGGAGAUCUUAAUUUCAAUCGGAAUCCAUAGAGAACCCUGGUAUAGAUGAAGUGUUUUUGCGGGGAAGUGGGCCUAAAAUCAGGCCAAGAACCUGUUGGGCCAGGGCCUUUUUGAAGGAGGGGGGAAGAAUGUCCCUGACUUAUGAGGAGACAUGGAGAAGGCCUUUCGAUGGCUCUAUUGUUCAGAGCGCGGCCCUACAAGUACCGCACCCCUCUCCACCUCCUCCCCCUCCGCAAGGACCCAAGGGCCCAGCGAGCUGGAAACUGGGUCGGUUGAGCUGAGCUCGAGGCAGUGGCAGAGCCAAGACCGACCUCCCUCACCCUCGUCUGCUACCCCCUGGUGCCAUCCCCGCCGCCGGCAGAAAACACAAAGGACUCCUCCCACCCGUUCUCGAACCUGAGGACGCUCUGGGGAGGGGGCUGGCGUGGACCUCGAGUCUGAGCACCUCCCUCCCCCGCGGGGAACAAUAGCCAUCGCCUCCCAGUGGCGGUGGGGCGGUCGCGCGGCACAAAAGCCGGCUCGGCCCGCGCCAUGUGACGCGCGCUCGGCCUGCUCUCCCGGCGGCGGCGGCGGCGGCGGCGGCCGCAGGCUGCUCAGCGCGCGGCGGCGGCGGCGACGGCGGGCGGGCGUUCCUGAUCCACCUGGAACACUUUCGGGAAGACAAACGCGGCUCUUCCUACUUCGGAGCAAGUCCGGGCCAGCUGGGAUUCGACCAGAAACCGCAGGCGGAGGAGACGCGGGCACGCAGGUUAAGGGCUCACGGAGGGCGCGACCCGCCGCCUCGCGCUCGGCGGGUCACCUCCUCGUCCCGGGGCCGCGCUGCCGCCCGCUGGCCCGGCCCUCAGGCCACGCAGGGCGCCCAGACGCCCCCGACGUGCGGGCCCCCACGCCGCCCGGAUCCGCAGUGAUUCUGCCUCCCCGCCCCCUGAGCACCUUCCGCUCGCCCCAGUGACACCCUUAAACGCUGCACUCCCCUCACAAAGGGACAGAUCCAUCUCUGAAAGCGCCGACAAGAAAAAUUUCAGAGGGUCGGAAGAUUCUUGCAAACACUGUUUUAUUUAAGCGUUUUAUAAAAGCUGUCCGGGGGAUGAGAAUUCAGGGGAGAGGCUGAACUAGUUUAGUUCUCUCAUUUACCUGCAGGAGUAUUUGUAGGGGAGGAAGCAAGAUUAGACUCCUAUUGAACUUGGAACUAAACUUGAAUGCCAUUUAAAAUAAUAAUAAAAAUAUACCUAAGACACCAACCACAGUGAUAUACCUCUUCUCUCUUCUAUGAGGGCAGGGAAGAAUUGGAGUAUUUUUACUUCAGCUUUUUGGGGUUCAUUUUAGAAACACUAUAAAGGGAUAGACAACAAGCUGGGGGGAGGCAGUCUUCAGCCUCAGAGCUUUUCAGAGUAGGAGGGCCUGGGUGAGUGGGUGGGGGAGAAUUCUUAUACCCACUCUUGAGUGGUACCUGUUGUCCACUGUAAAUUCUAGAGAGUUCUGGGCUACCCUCUCUUUUAACCUUUCUGAGUAAUAUCAACUGAGAAGUUUCUGAAGUUAAAUGUGGUGCCUCAGCCCAUGGGAAAUGGCCCCUGAAAGGCAGAAAAUCCCAACUUUUUCCCACUCCCCUCAAUCCUCUUCUCUUUCACCAUCCUCUUGGGUGGAAAUAACAUGCUCUGGAGAAAUAUUCUACUAUCAUUUUUCCUCAGAUAGAUAUAAACUGAAGCAUUAAGCCUUGCACAGUGUCCUAUACUCCUCUGGCAAUUAAAAUACUGGUCCUCUUGUCCUUGA